AACCUGGUUGAUCCUGCCAGUAGUCAUAUGCUUGUCUCAAAGAUUAAGCCAUGCAUGUCUAAGUAUAAGCUGAUUAUACUGUGAAACUGCGAAUGGCUCAUUAAAUCAGUUAUAGUUUAUUUGAUGGUACUACUACUCGGAUAACCGUAGUAAUUCUAGAGCUAAUACGUGCGCAACUCCCGACUUCUGGA
rnacentral:rRNA from 1 species